AUUGAACGCUGGCGGCAUGCCUUACACAUGCAAGUCGAACGGCAGCACGGGUUCUUGCACCUGGUGGCGAGUGGCGAACGGGUGAGUAAUACAUCGGAACGUACCUUAUCGUGGGGGAUAACGCAGCGAAAGCUAUGCUAAUACCGCAUACGCCCUGAGGGGGAAAGCGGGGGAUCGAAAGACCUCGCGCGAUUAGAGCGGCCGAUGCCUGAUUAGCUUGUUGGUGGGGUAAAAGCCCACCAAGGGGACGAUCAGUAGCUGGGCGGAGAGGACGAGCAGGCAGACGGGGACUGAGACACGGCCCAGACUCCUACGGGAGGCAGCAGUGGGGAAUUUUGGACAAUGGGGGCAACCCUGAUCCAGCAAUGCCGCGUGAGUGAAGAAGGCCUUCGGGUUGUAAAGCUCUUUUGUCAGGGAAGAAACACCGGCUCUAACACAGUCCGGGAAUGACGGUACCUGAAGAAUAAGCACCGGCUAACUACGUGCCAGCCGCCGCCGUAA
rnacentral:rRNA from 1 species